UUUCUCCUUCUCUACGUAACAUCACCCUCAUAUAGCUAGCCAACAAACUAUUUUUCUAGGUUGGAACUACCACAGAGUGCAUAGCAUAAAGAUUCUGCCUGUCUGAAUGAGGUCUCCUGGACAAAGCAUUAGCAGCCUUAUUUUCAACUUCCUUCCUAUGUAGAAUUCUAUAAUCCUGACCCAACAACUUAGAAAUGCCCUUCUACUGCAAGUUAUUGUGAAGCCUUUGGUCAAGCAAGUACUUGAUACUCUCAUGGUCAGUCUUUAUGUAAAAUACACCCUGUUCCAAAUAAUGUCUCCAUUUGUUCACAGCAUAAGUAAUAGCCAACAGCUCUUUUUCAU
rnacentral:misc_RNA from 1 species